ACUACGGGAGGCAGCAGUGAGGAAUAUUGGUCAAUGGGCGCGAGCCUGAACCAGCCAUGCAGCGUGAAGGAUGACUGCCCUACGGGUUGUAAACAUCUUUUAUAAAGGAAUAAAGUGAGGCACGUGUGCCUUCUUGUAUGUACUUUAUGAAUAAGUAUCGGCGAACUCCGUGCCAGCAGCCGCGGUGAUAAGGAGGAGCCGAGCGUUAUCCGGAUUUAUUGGGUUUAAAGUGAGCGUAGAUGGGUUGUUAAGUCAGCUGUGAAAGUUUGCGGCUCAACCGUAGAAGUGCAAUUGAUACUGGCAGGCUUGAGUACAGUAGAGGUGGGCAGAAUGCGUGGUGUAGCGGUGAAAUGCGUAGAGAUCACGAAGAACACCGAUUGCGAAGGCAGCCUACUAGACUGCCACUGACGUUGAGGCGCGAAAGUGUGGGUAUCAAACAGGAUUAGAUACCCUAGUAGUC
rnacentral:rRNA from 1 species